rnacentral:misc_RNA from 1 species
UCGAAACCUGCCAAGCAGAACGACCAGCGAACAUGUCACCAAAAACACAGGGGGAGAGCAACGCGUUGCUCGAUCCUUGCCGUGCGGCUAGGUGGACACUUUACGGCUGUGCCUUUUCCCUUUUCAAAAGGACCUGGCAUUCGCUCAAGGGUUGCCUCGCCGUGCAAUAACAAAAACCCGGCGCGGAAUGCGUCAAGGAACUUAUUAUAAAAACAUCGCCCUCUCCAUUGUUCGAGAAAUCGGCAAAGUGGGAGUGGUUGUGUGUCGUAUUAACAAAACGA